GGGUUGUGAGGUUAAGCGACUAAGCGUACACGGUGGAUGCCCUGGCAGUCAGAGGCGAUGAAGGACGUGCUAAUCUGCGAUAAGCGUCGGUAAGGUGAUAUGAACCGUUAUAACCGGCGAUUUCCGAAUGGGGAAACCCAGUGUGAUUCGUCACACUAUCAUUAACUGAAUCCAUAGGUUAAUGAGGCGAACCGGGGGAACUGAAACAUCUAAGUACCCCGAGGAAAAGAAAUCAACCGAGAUUCCCCCAGUAGCGGCGAGCGAACGGGGAGGAGCCCAGAGCCUGAAUCAGUGUGUGUGUUAGUGGAAGCGUCUGGAAAGGCGCGCGAUACAGGGUGACAGCCCCGUACACAAAAAUGCACAUGCUGUGAGCUCGAUGAGUAGGGCGGGACACGUGGUAUCCUGUCUGAAUAUGGGGGGACCAUCCUCCAAGGCUAAAUACUCCUGACUGACCGAUAGUGAACCAGUACCGUGAGGGAAAGGCGAAAAGAACCCCGGCGAGGGGAGUGAAAAAGAACCUGAAACCGUGUACGUACAAGCAGUGGGAGCACAGAGCAAUCUGUGUGACUGCGUACCUUUUGUAUAAUGGGUCAGCGACUUAUAUUCUGUAGCAAGGUUAACCGAAUAGGGGAGCCGAAGGGAAACCGAGUCUUAACUGGGCGUUAAGUUGCAGGGUAUAGACCCGAAACCCGGUGAUCUAGCCAUGGGCAGGUUGAAGGUUGGGUAACACUAACUGGAGGACCGAACCGACUAAUGUUGAAAAAUUAGCGGAUGACUUGUGGCUGGGGGUGAAAGGCCAAUCAAACCGGGAGAUAGCUGGUUCUCCCCGAAAGCUAUUUAGGUAGCGCCUCGUGAAUUCAUCUCCGGGGGUAGAGCACUGUUUCGGCAAGGGGGUCAUCCCGACUUACCAACCCGAUGCAAACUGCGAAUACCGGAGAAUGUUAUCACGGGAGACACACGGCGGGUGCUAACGUCCGUCGUGAAGAGGGAAACAACCCAGACCGCCAGCUAAGGUCCCAAAGUCAUGGUUAAGUGGGAAACGAUGUGGGAAGGCCCAGACAGCCAGGAUGUUGGCUUAGAAGCAGCCAUCAUUUAAAGAAAGCGUAAUAGCUCACUGGUCGAGUCGGCCUGCGCGGAAGAUGUAACGGGGCUAAACCAUGCACCGAAGCUGCGGCAGCGACGCUUAUGCGUUGUUGGGUAGGGGAGCGUUCUGUAAGCCUGUGAAGGUGUGCUGUGAGGCAUGCUGGAGGUAUCAGAAGUGCGAAUGCUGACAUAAGUAACGAUAAAGCGGGUGAAAAGCCCGCUCGCCGGAAGACCAAGGGUUCCUGUCCAACGUUAAUCGGGGCAGGGUGAGUCGACCCCUAAGGCGAGGCCGAAAGGCGUAGUCGAUGGGAAACAGGUUAAUAUUCCUGUACUUGGUGUUACUGCGAAGGGGGGACGGAGAAGGCUAUGUUGGCCGGGCGACGGUUGUCCCGGUUUAAGCGUGUAGGCUGGUUUUCCAGGCAAAUCCGGAAAAUCAAGGCUGAGGCGUGAUGACGAGGCACUACGGUGCUGAAGCAACAAAUGCCCUGCUUCCAGGAAAAGCCUCUAAGCAUCAGGUAACAUCAAAUCGUACCCCAAACCGACACAGGUGGUCAGGUAGAGAAUACCAAGGCGCUUGAGAGAACUCGGGUGAAGGAACUAGGCAAAAUGGUGCCGUAACUUCGGGAGAAGGCACGCUGAUAUGUAGGUGAAGUCCCUCGCGGAUGGAGCUGAAAUCAGUCGAAGAUACCAGCUGGCUGCAACUGUUUAUUAAAAACACAGCACUGUGCAAACACGAAAGUGGACGUAUACGGUGUGACGCCUGCCCGGUGCCGGAAGGUUAAUUGAUGGGGUUAGCGCAAGCGAAGCUCUUGAUCGAAGCCCCGGUAAACGGCGGCCGUAACUAUAACGGUCCUAAGGUAGCGAAAUUCCUUGUCGGGUAAGUUCCGACCUGCACGAAUGGCGUAAUGAUGGCCAGGCUGUCUCCACCCGAGACUCAGUGAAAUUGAACUCGCUGUGAAGAUGCAGUGUACCCGCGGCAAGACGGAAAGACCCCGUGAACCUUUACUAUAGCUUGACACUGAACAUUGAGCCUUGAUGUGUAGGAUAGGUGGGAGGCUUUGAAGUGUGGACGCCAGUCUGCAUGGAGCCGACCUUGAAAUACCACCCUUUAAUGUUUGAUGUUCUAACGUGGACCCGUAAUCCGGGUUGCGGACAGUGUCUGGUGGGUAGUUUGACUGGGGCGGUCUCCUCCUAAAGAGUAACGGAGGAGCACGAAGGUUGGCUAAUCCUGGUCGGACAUCAGGAGGUUAGUGCAAUGGCAUAAGCCAGCUUGACUGCGAGCGUGACGGCGCGAGCAGGUGCGAAAGCAGGUCAUAGUGAUCCGGUGGUUCUGAAUGGAAGGGCCAUCGCUCAACGGAUAAAAGGUACUCCGGGGAUAACAGGCUGAUACCGCCCAAGAGUUCAUAUCGACGGCGGUGUUUGGCACCUCGAUGUCGGCUCAUCACAUCCUGGGGCUGAAGUAGGUCCCAAGGGUAUGGCUGUUCGCCAUUUAAAGUGGUACGCGAGCUGGGUUUAGAACGUCGUGAGACAGUUCGGUCCCUAUCUGCCGUGGGCGCUGGAGAAUUGAGGGGGGCUGCUCCUAGUACGAGAGGACCGGAGUGGACGCAUCACUGGUGUUCGGGUUGUCAUGCCAAUGGCACUGCCCGGUAGCUAAAUGCGGAAGAGAUAAGUGCUGAAAGCAUCUAAGCACGAAACUUGCCCCGAGAUGAGUUCUCCCUGACUCCUUGAGAGUCCUGAAGGAACGUUGAAGACGACGACGUUGAUAGGCCGGGUGUGUAAGCGCAGCGAUGCGUUGAGCUAACCGGUACUAAUGAACCGUGAGGCUUAACCUUACAACGCCGAAGGUGUUU
rnacentral:rRNA from 1 species